ACAAUCUCGAACAUCAGUUUUUCGGGGCACACGUGACAAUCUGUAAAUUCACAGAAUGUUGCAAGUAGGUACUGGAGAUUUCACUCCAGUAGAAGGGCAUUGAUAGAGCUGUCCGGCCGAGAGGUUAGGGGCAUAUUGAGGAACCCAACA
ncrna:Enterovibrio calviensis 1F-211 DABA-DC-AT RNA